rnacentral:rRNA from 1 species
UACGUAGGGUUCAAGCGUUAUCCGGAAUUACUGGGCGUAAAGAGUUGCGUAGGUGGCAAGGUAAGCGAUGCAUUAAAGCUCACGGCUCAACCGUGAAAUCAUGUGUCGAACUGCCUAGCUAGAAUAUGGGAGAGGUAGCUGGAAUUUCUAGUGUAGGAGUGAAAUCCGUAGAUAUUAGAAGGAACACCGAUGGCGUAGGCAGGCUACUAGCCCAUUAUUGACACUAAGGCACGAAAGCGUGGGGAGCGAACGGG